rnacentral:tRNA from 1 species
GCGGGGGUGCCCGAGCCAGGUCAAAGUGGGAACGGUCGCGACCCUGUGCCUUAGUGGCUGCGUGGGUUCAAAUCCCACCCCCCGCA